rnacentral:misc_RNA from 1 species
GGCUCCGGCGCGUCACGGGCCUCAGCUGGGAUUCCCGCGCCCCUCGGACGGCCACGAGACUCGGAAAUAUAAGCAAGUUAUUAUGGUGCCCAGAAAGGGGGCAAAGGUUCCAG